GAAAGGCUGCAUUUCCAUGCAGCUGGGCAUACUGGUCUAUGCCCCAGUUAGA
rnacentral:ncRNA from 1 species